AAAGCUGAAACUUAUGUGGAAGAAUCCUGGGGGUAGAGUAGAUUCUAAAUUGUUAAAAUCAUGACCCUUGGUGGUACGGUGAGGCUAAAUAGGGAAUCCAAGUUUUACGUUGACAUACAUAGGAAAAAUCUUCUCAAGAACCACUGGGACAAAAAAGCUGAAACUUAUGUGGUAACAUCCUGGGAUAGUGUAGAUUCAAAAUUAAUUAAAUUAUGGCCCUCAGGGGUAGGGCGGGCCACAAUUGGGAAUUCCAAAUUUUACAUUAAGUUAAAUAUAGGAAAAACUCCCUUCUCAAGAACUACAAAGCCAGAAAAGCUGAAACUAAGUUGCAAGCAUUCUUCGAUAGUGUAGAUUCUGAAUUGCUAAAAUCAUGACCCUUGGGGGUAGGGUGGGGCCAAAAAUCCAAGUUUACAUUGAAGUAUAUAGGAAAAAAUCUUCUCAAGAACCACAUAGCCAAAAAAGCUGAAAUUUAUGUGGAAACAUCCUGUGAUAAUGUUGAUUCUAAAUUCUUAAAAUCAUGGCCCUCGGGGUCAGGGCGGGGCCACAAUAGAGAAUCCCAAGUUUUGCAUUGAAACAUAUAGAAUCUUAAAAAAACCUUCUCAAAAACAGUUUAAUGGAGAAGCAUCCUGGGGUAGUGUACAUUCUAAAUUUUCCAAAUCAUGACCCCUGGGGGAAUGGUUAGGCCACAAUAGGUAUUACAAGGGGAAAUCUGGUAAAGAACAGCUUUGCCAAAGUUACAAAGGUGCGCGAUGUGGCCCAUGGGCCUCUUGUUUUUGCUAACCUGAGCCUACGGGCUCAAGUGAGCUUUUCUGGUCAAAUUUUGUAUUGUCUGUCCAGCCGUCUGUAAACUUUUCACAAUUUCGACUUCUUCUCAAGAACCACUGGGCCAAUUUUAACCAAACUUGGUACAAAGCAUUCUUGGGUGAAGGGGAGUUUAAGUUAUUAAAAUGAAGGGGGAGAUAAUUAUGAUUUCGUGAAAAAUUAAUGGCAUUUUUAAAAAAUCUUCUCAAGAACCACUGGGCCAGGAAAGAUGAAACUCAUGUGGAAUCAUCUUCAGGUAGUGUAGAUUCAAGUUUGUUCAAAUCAUGACCCCCGGGCAUAGUGUGGGGCCACAAUGGCCGAUCAAAGUUUUACAUAGAAAUAUAGAGGAAAAUUCUUCAAAAAACUUCUUAAGAGUAGCAAAGCAAUGAUAGGUCAUAUUUAUAUGGAAGCAUCCUCAGGUAGUGUAGAAUUAAGUUUGUUCAAAUCAUGACCCCUGGGGGUAGGGCGGGGCAACAAUGGCCGACCAAAGUUUUACAUAGAAAUAUAUAGGAAAAUUCUUUCAAAAUCUUCUACUCAAGAAUAACCAAAGCUAUGAUUGGUCAUAUUUAUAUGGAAGCAUCCUCAGGUAGUGUAGAUUCAAGUUUGUUCAAAUCAUGACCCUUGGGGGUAGGGCGGGGCCACAAUGGCCGACCAAAAUUUUACAUAGAAAUAUAUAGAAAAAUUCUUUAAAAAUCUUCUUCUCAAGAAUAAUAAAGCCAUGAUUGAUCCUAUUUAUAUGGAAGCAUCCUCAGGUAGUGUAGAUUCAAGUUUGUUUAAAUCAUGACCCCCGGGGGUAAGGGCGGGGCCACAAUGGCCGACCAAAGUUUUACAUAGAAAUAUAUAGAAAAAUUCUUUAAAAAUCUUUUAGGGAUGUCAAUUUUAUUCGGACAGCUUAGUCGAAUAGUCAGAGGCUUUAGUUGAAUGAUAGUCGAAUAUUCGUUGAUAUUUUAAUUAUUUUUAUUUUUUCAUGUCAUUUUCAAUGUUUGCCAUUUAUAACAAGUUGUACAAUAUUUAACCUACCGGUAUAUAUACUAUCACCAUUACGCGAAUUUUUGAAUUGUAAACAAUUACAUUCUACAAUAAAUACAUACACAUGUU